AUUGAACGCUGGCGGCAGGCCUAACACAUGCAAGUCGAACGAGUGGCGGACGGGUGAGUAAUGUCUGGGAAACUGCCUGAUGGAGGGGGAUAACUACUGGAAACGGUAGCUAAUACCGCAUACCAUCAGAUGUGCCCAGAGGGGAUUGGCUAGUUGGUGGGGUAACGGCUCACCAAGGCGACGAUCCCUAGCUGGUCUGAGAGGAUGACAGGCAAAACUGGAACGGAGACACGGUCCAGACUCCUACGGGAGGCAGCAGGGGGGAAUAUGGCACAAGGGGCGCAAGCCUGAUGAGGCCAUGCCGCGUGUAUGAAGAAGGCCUUCGGGUUGUAAAGUACUUUCAGCGGGGAGGCGUUACCCGCAGAAGAAGCACCGGCUAACUCCGUGCCAGCCGCCGCGGUAAUUC
rnacentral:rRNA from 1 species